GUGUCAGCAGCCGCGGUAAUACGAAGGUCCCAAGCGUUAUUCGGAAUCACUGGGCGUAAAGGGUGCGUAGGUGGUGAGGAAAGUCAGAUGUGAAAGCCCUGGGCUCAACCUAGGAACUGCAUCCGAUACUCCCUCACUAGAGGAUUGGAGAGGAGUCUGGAAUUCACGGUGUAGCAGUGAAACGCGUAGAUAUCGUGAGGAACACUCGUGGCGAAAGCGAGACUCUGGACAAUUCCUGACACUGAUGCACGAAGGCCGGGGGAGCGAACAGGAUUAGAUACCCUGGUAGUCC
rnacentral:rRNA from 1 species